UACAGAGGGGGCUAGCGUUAUUCGGAAUUAUUGGGCGUAAAGGGCGCGUAGGCGGCCAUGCGUGUCUUCCGUGAAAUCCCUCGGCUUAACUGAGGACGUGCGGAAGAAACUGCAAGGCUCGAGUCCGGGAGAGGGGGGUGGAAUUCCCAGUGUAGCGGCGAAAUGCGUAGAUAUUGGGAGGAACACCGGUGGCGAAGGCGGCCCCCUGGACCGGUACUGACGCUGAGGCGCGAAAGCGUGGGUAGCAAACGGG
rnacentral:rRNA from 1 species